GCCCGAUUAGUUUAGUUGGUAGAACGCCUGCCUUGUAAGCAGGAAGGAAGGGUUCAAAUCCUUUAUUGGGCU
rnacentral:tRNA from 1 species